rnacentral:rRNA from 1 species
AGCGAACGCUGGCGGCAGGCCUAACACAUGCAAGUCGAACGAACCUUUCGGGGUUAGUGGCGGACGGGUGAGUAACACGUGGGAACGUGCCUUUAGGUUCGGAAUAACUCAGGGAAACUUGUGCUAAUACCGAAUGUGCCCUUCGGGGGAAAGAUUAAUCGCCUUUAGAGCGGCCCGCGUCUGAUUAGCUAGUUGGUUGAGGUAAUGGCUCACCAAGGCGACGAUCAGUAGCUGGUCUGAGAGGAUGAUCAGCCACAUUGGGACUGAGACACGGCCCAAACUCCUACGGGAGGCAGCAGUGGGGAAUCUUGCGCAAUGGGCGAAAGCCUGACGAAGCCAUGCCGCGUGAAUGAUGAAGGUCUUAGGAUUGUAAAAUUCUUUCACCGGGGACGAUAAUGACGGUACCCGGAGAAGAAGCCCCGGCUAACUUCGUG